rnacentral:rRNA from 1 species
GAUGAACGCUGGCGGCGUGCCUAAUACAUGCAAGUCGAGCGAACAGACGAGGAGCUUGCUCCUCUGACGUUAGCGGCGGACGGGUGAGUAACACGUGGAUAACCUACCUAUAAGACUGGGAUAACUUCGGGAAACCGGAGCUAAUACCGGAUAAUAUAUUGAACCGCAUGGUUCAAUAGUGAAAGACGGUUUUGCUGUCACUUAUAGAUGGAUCCGCGCCGCAUUAGCUAGUUGGUAAGGUAACGGCUUACCAAGGCAACGAUGCGUAGCCGACCUGAGAGGGUGGUCGGCGACACUGGAACUGAGACAGGGUCCAGACUCCUACGGGAGGCAGCAGUAGGGAAUCUUCCGCAAUGGGCGAAAGCCUGACGGAGCAACGCCGCGUGAGUGAUGAAGGUCUUCGGAUCGUAAAACUCUGUUAUUAGGGAAGAACAAAUGUGUAAGUAACUAUGCACGUCUUGACGGUAACUAAUCAGAAAGCCACGGCUAACUACGUG